rnacentral:rRNA from 1 species
GGUGAACGCUGGCGGCGUGCCUAAUACAUGCAAGUCGAGCGAACGGACGAGAAGCUUGCUUCUCUGAUGUUAGCGGCGGACGGGUGAGUAACACGUGGAUAACCUACCUAUAAGACUGGGAUAACUUCGGGAAACCGGAGCUAAUACCGGAUAAUAUUUUGAACCGCAUGGUUCAAAAGUGAAAGACGGUCUUGCUGUCACUUAUAGAUGGAUCCGCGCUGCAUUAGCUAGUUGGUAAGGUAACGGCUUACCAAGGCAACGAUGCAUAGCCGACCUGAGAGGGUGAUCGGCCACACUGGAACUGAGACACGGUCCAGACUCCUACGGGAGGCAGCAGUAGGGAAUCUUCCGCAAUGGGCGAAAGCCUGACGAAGCAACGCCGCGUGAGUGAUGAAGGUCUUCGGAUCGUAAAACUCUGUUAUUAGGGAAGAACAUAUGUGUAAGUAACUGUGCACAUCUUGACGGUACCUAAUCAGAAAGCCACGGCUAACUACGUG